ACCUCGAUGUUGGAUCAGGGUAUCCCAGUGGUGCAGCCGCUACUAAAGGUUCGUUUGUUCAACGAUUAAAACCCUACGUGAUCUGAGUUCAGACCGGAGCAAUCCAGGUCAGUUUCUAUCUAUAUAUGAGUUUCUUCUAGUACGAAAGGACCGAAGAAACGCGGCCUAUGUUUUUACAAGCCACAGCUACCAAAUUAUGAUUUAAACUCAAUAAUAUAGUAGCCUAAUAAUUUUCUCAAGACAAGAGUU
rnacentral:rRNA from 1 species